AGUGGUCGGCCUGCCAGAGGCCGCGGCCUGGCUCAGCCCGAUUAAGGGGUAGGGAGGGGGUGCGGUAGGGAACCUGCUCCCUGGAACCGUCACCGCCUCCUCUGGGGGGCGCCACCGCUGCCCCUUGAUGCUGCCGCCGCCGCCUGUUGCCGAGUGCGCCGCUUCGCCCUUCCGCUUGCGCAAGUGAGCGCCGCCGCGGGCCGCGCCCAGCGCCCUCGUGCGCCGCGCACGAAUGCCGCCGCCUUUUGGUGCCGCCGCCGGCGUCGUGUGUGCCCCUGUCUGCGUCUCUACGGCGUGCCGAGCGUCGCCGGUUCUCUGGUGGUGCCGGCCACCGAUGGUGAGGGUGCCCUGCGGGAAUCGCCGGGAAUCGCCGAGGUUGUCUGAUGGAGGGACUCGCAUGUCCUCCCUGUCGGCUGUAUUGGCACGGAUGCGCCGUCUUCGUUCAAGAUCGACGAGCAUGUCGCCGGCGAGCAGCCGGCCGUUCUUCCUGUCAUGGUGAGUUGGUGACACAGAGCAGCCGGCCGUUCUUCCUGUCAUGGUGAGUUGGUGACACAGGCAUAUCGAUGUCGGAGUGGACGUUCAUGUUGUUGCCGCCGGCAAGUGGCCGCCGUUGGUGACGAAGACAUCGAAGGAAAUCUGGUCGUCUUGGACGCAGCGCAUGUUGGUAACCGCUCGUCGCCGGCGUCAUUGCUUGCUUCUUCUUUUCGUUUCUCAAUCUCAGCGGAGAGCAGUACGUGACUGAUAACGUGUUAGAAGUAAAAGUGAUUGGAAUGAUUGAUUGUCUUUAUUGAUGGUUUAGACCA